rnacentral:rRNA from 1 species
CAGUAGCCGCUGUAAUACAGAGGUCUCAAGCGUUGUUCGGAUUCAUUGGGCGUAAAGGGAGCGUAGGCGGUCGGGUAAGUCGGAUGUGAAAUCCUGGGGCUCAACCUCAGAACUGCAUUCGAUACUGCUUGGCUAGAGGACUGGAGAGGUGAGUGGAAUUCACGGUGUAGCAGUGAAAUGCGUAGAUAUCGUGAGGAAGACCAGCGGCGAAGGCGGCUCACUGGACAGUAUCUGACGCUGAUGCUCGAAGGCCAGGGGAGCAAACAGGAUUAGAUACCCCCGUAGUCCCUGUCUCUUAUAC